CCAAUGGCUCUGCUGAGAGCCACAAAAGUAGUGUAGAGAUUGAUA
rfam:Schistocephalus solidus strain NST_G2 genome assembly, scaffold: SSLN_scaffold0006852